UCUAAACAAUAUGGAGUUCCUAAUAUUGGGCCAGCCAAUGGAAGUAAUGGGCCAGUAAAUGAAAAUAAUGGGCCAAAUAAGUUUAAUAACGAAGUGGGCUUAAAUAAUGGCACAAAUGAUUCGGGUAAUGGGCUUUGGAUAACGUGCCUAUAUUCUAAAGGAGCUUCAGCCAGGCUGGGUUCAAAACAACAAUGAAGUAGAUUGUGGCAUGAGCAUUGUCGAAAACCAGGACAUAAAGAAGAUACAUGUUGGGAUCUACAUGGGAAACCAAGUAAUUGGAAGCCAAGACAAAAUAAUAAAAAUCGUGGUUACCAGGCGUCUGUUUAUUACCAAACGGGAAAAUCUGAGUCUAGUGAUGCAUUCAAUCCCGAACAAAUGGAGCAACUUUACAAAAUGUUUUCUAGCCUCCAAUCGUUAAGUUAAACAUCCAUAAAAAAUCCCUCUAACUCGCUGGCGCACAAAGGAACUACAUCUAGGAAGACGAUUGAUAGUGUUAAGGAAAGUGAAGGACUCUACUAUUUUGACGAGACUGAUGUAAGUAAACAGCGUCAAGUUACAAUUUGUGAUUCUGCAUCUGUUCCUAGAAAUAGUGAUAUUUUGUUAUGGCAUUUUAGAAUGGGUCAUCCAAACUUUCAGUACCUAAAACGUGUAUUUCCUUCAAUUUUUAUGAAUAAAAAUUUCGUUCGUAUUCAAUGUGAAA